GAUGAAGAACGCAGCGAAACGCGAUAAGUAAUGUGAAUUGCAGAAUUCAGUGAAUCAUCGAAUCUUUGAACGCACAUUGCGCCCCCUGGUAUUCCGGGGGGCAUGCCUGUUCGAGCGUCAUUUCACCACUCAAGCCUCGCUUGGUAUUGGGCAACGCGGUCCGCCGCGUGCCUCAAAUCGACCGGCUGGGUCUUCUGUCCCCUAAGCGUUGUGGAAACUAUUCGCUAAAGGGUGUUCGGGAGGCUACGCCGUAAAACAACCCCAUUUCUAAGGUUGACCUCGGAUCAGGUAGGGAUACCCGCUGAACUUAAGCAUAUCAAUAAGCGGAGGA
rnacentral:misc_RNA from 1 species